UUGCAGUUAAAAAGCUCGUAGUUGGAUUUCUGUGAGAGUAUGAUGUCCUAACGUGUUUAGAGCGCAGAAAACUCUUGCAUCCUUCUGUUACCUCCACGUGGCAUUCGCUUGCCAGUGGUUGGCUCAGAGAAUUUACCUUGAGAAAAUUAGAGUGUUUCAGGCAGGCUUAGUCGGAAUACAUUAGCAUGGAAUAAUAGAAUAGGACUCCGGUCUCGUUGUUGGUUUGAGGGACUGUAGUAAUGAUUAAUAGGGAUAGUUGGGGGCAUUAGUAUUCGGUUGUCAGAGGUGAAAUUCUCAGAUUUAUUGAAGACUAACUUAUGCGAAAGCAUUUGCCAAGGAUGUUUUCAUUAAUCAAGAACGAAAGUUAGGGGAUCAAAGACGAUCAGAUACCGUCCUAGUCUUAACCAUAAACUAUGCCGACUCGGGACUGGGGGCGUGUUAUUAUCCGCCUUCAGCACCGUAUGAGAAAUCAAAGUCUUUGGGUNCUGGGGGGAGUAUGGU
rnacentral:rRNA from 1 species